rnacentral:tRNA from 1 species
GCCCUGGUGGCGGAAUUGGCAGACGCGCAGCGUUCAGGUCGCUGUUUGGGAAACCAAGUACAAGUUCGAAUCUUGCCCAGGGCA